rnacentral:rRNA from 1 species
AUUGAACGCUGGCGGCAUGCUUUACACAUGCCAGUCGAACGGUAACAGGCCUUCGGGUGCUGACGAGUGGCGAACGGGUGAGUAAUGCAUCGGAACGUACCCAGAGGUGGGGGAUAACGCAGCGAAAGCUGUGCUAAUACCGCAUGUGAUCUGAGGAUGAAAGCGGGGGACCGAGCAGCAAUGUUUGGCCUCGCGCCUUUGAAGCGGCCGAUGUCGGAUUAGCUAGUUGGUGGGGUAAAGGCCUACCAAGGCGACGAUCCGUAGCUGGUCUGAGAGGACGACCAGCCACACUGGGACUGAGACACGGCCCAGACUCCUACGGGAGGCAGCAGUGGGGAAUUUUGGACAAUGGGCGCAAGCCUGAUCCAGCAAUGCCGCGUGCGGGAAGAAGGCCUUCGGGUUGUAAACCGCUUUUGGCAGGAACGAAACGGUGUCCGCUAAUACCGGGCGCUAAUGACGGUACCUGCAGAAUAAGCACCGGCUAACUACGUG